AACUUCAAGAUCAAAUAAUGCUU
rnacentral:snRNA from 1 species